GGGCAGGUGGGCAGAGAAAGAACUGAACAUGAUGAAGCUUUUCUUUGACAAUCUGGUGUAUUACAUUCAGGGCAUAAGGGAAGGCAGACAAAAGCACACACUGUACAGCCAUAGUGCGGAAGUUCAGGUCCGACUUCAGUUCCUGACCUGUGUGUUCUCAACCCUGGGAUCGCCUGACCACUUCAGGUUAAGUUUAGAGCAAGUCGACAUUUUAUGGCAUUGUUUAGUGGAAGAUUCUGAGUGCUAUGAUGAUGCACUUCAUUGGUUUUUAAAUCAAGUUCGAAGUAAAGAUCAACACGCAAUGGGAAUGGAGACCUACAAACAUCUUUUCCUGGAGAAAGAUGCCCCAGCUGAAACCUGAAACAAUUAGCAUGACUGGCUUAAACCUGUUUCA
rnacentral:lncRNA from 1 species